CCGGGUAUAGCGAAGUUGGUAUCGCGCCUGGUUUGGGACCAGGAGACCGUGCGUUCGAGUCGCACUACUCGGACCA
rnacentral:tRNA from 22 species